UACGGGGGGGGCAAGCGUUGUUCGGAAUUACUGGGCGUAAAGGGCUCGUAGGUGGCCAACUAAGUCAGACGUGAAAUCCCUCGGCUUAACCGGGGAACUGCGUCUGAUACUGGAUGGCUUGAGUUUGGGAGAGGGAUGCGGAAUUCCAGGUGUAGCGGUGAAAUGCGUAGAUAUCUGGAGGAACACCGGUGGCGAAGGCGGCAUCCUGGACCAACACUGACACUGAGGACCGAAAGCGUGGGGAGCAAACAGG
rnacentral:rRNA from 1 species